rnacentral:misc_RNA from 1 species
UCCGGCUUAUCACCGGCAGUCCCUUUAGAGUGCCCAACUAAAUGAUGGCAACUAAAGACGAGGGUUGCGCUCGUUGCGGGACUUAACCCAACAUCUCACGACACGAGCUGACGACAGCCAUGCAGCACCUGUGUGUAGGUCCCGUAAGGGAAAGAAUCCAUCUCUGGAAACCGUCCUACCAUGUCAAACGCUGGUAAGGUUCUUCGCGUUGCGUCGAAUUAAACCACAUGCUCCGCUGCUUGUGCGGGUCCCCGUCAAUUCCUUUGAGUUUUAACCUUGCGGCCGUACUCCCCAGGCGGUCAACUUCACGCGUUAGCUGCGCCACCGAAAGCCCAUGGCCCCCGACAGCUAGUCAUCAUCGUUUGCGGCGUGGACUAC